rnacentral:pre_miRNA from 1 species
ACUGCCAUCUUACUGGGCAGCAUUGGAUGGUGUCAGGUCUCUAAUACUGCCUGGUAAUGAUGACGGC